GACGAACGCUGGCGGCGUGCUUAACACAUGCAAGUCGAACGAAGUGGCGAACGGGUGAGUAACGCGUAAUCAACCUGCCCUUCAGAGGGGGACCACAGUUGGAAACGCCUGCUAAUACCGCAUACUGAAGGAGGGGAUUGCGUCUGAUUAGCUAGUUGGAGGGGUAACGGCCCACCAAGGCGAUGAUCAGUAGCCGAUCUGAGAGGAUGAACGGACAAAUUGGGACUGAGACACGGCACAGACUCGUACAGGAGGCAGCAGUAGGGAAUCGUCAGAAAUGGGCGGAAGUCUGACGGAGAAACGACGCGUGAGUGAUGACGGCCUUAGGGUUGUAAAGAUCUGUUAAUCGGGACGCGGUACCGGAAUAGAAAGCCACGGCUAACUACGUGCCAGCCGCCGCGGUAAUAC
rnacentral:rRNA from 1 species